rnacentral:rRNA from 1 species
UACGAAGGGGGCUAGCGUUGCUCGGAAUUACUGGGCGUAAAGCGCACGUAGGCGGCUUCUUAAGUCGGUGGUGAAAUCCUGGAGCUCAACUCCAGAACUGCCUUCGAUACUGGGAAGCUCGAGUCCGGGAGAGGUGAGUGGAACUGCGAGUGUAGAGGUGAAAUUCGUAGAUAUUCGCAAGAACACCGGUGGCGAAGGCGGCGCUCUGGACCGAGACUGACGCUGAGGCGGCGAAAAGCGUGG